AGUAACGCGUGAGCAAUCUGCCUUUAAGAGGGGGAGUAACAGUCGGAAACGGCUGCUAAUACCGCAUAAAGCAUCAAAUUCGCAUGUUUUUGAUGCCAAAGGAGCAAUCCGCUUUUAGAUGAGCUCGCGUCCGAUUAGCUAGUUGGUGAGGUAACGGCCCACCAAGGCGACGAUCGGUAGCCGGACUGAGAGGUUGAACGGCCACAUUGGGACUGAGACACGGCCCAG
rnacentral:rRNA from 1 species